rnacentral:rRNA from 1 species
GACGAACGCUGGCGGCGUGCUUAACACAUGCAAGUCGAACGGAAAGGCCCUGCUUUUGUGGGGUGCUCGAGUGGCGAACGGGUGAGUAACACGUGAGUAACCUGCCCUUGACUUUGGGAUAACUUCAGGAAACUGGGGCUAAUACCGGAUAGGAGCUCCUGCUGCAUGGUGGGGGUUGGAAAGUUUCGGCGGUUGGGGAUGGACUCGCGGCUUAUCAGCUUGUUGGUGGGGUAGUGGCUUACCAAGGCUUUGACGGGUAGCCGGCCUGAGAGGGUGACCGGCCACAUUGGGGCUGAGAUACGGCCCAGACUCCUACGGGAGGCAGCAGUGGGGAAUAUUGCACAAUGGGCGGAAGCCGGAUGCAGCAACGCCGCGUGCGGGAGGACGGCCUUCGGGUUGUAAACCGCUUUCGCCUGUGACGAAGCGUGAGUGACGGUAAUGGGUAAAGAAGCACCGGCUAACUACGU